UCCUAUAGUAGGCUUAGAUGAUUCAUUGC
rnacentral:piRNA from 1 species